GAAAAAAACGACAUACUAUUCUGAUGUAUUUUGCGUCUGACUUGGUUGCCGAUGGACAUUGCUCGGAAAUAAUAUGGUGGAAAAAUGUGUUUUUAAAAGAAGUUCAACGGGGAAAUGUGUUUUUAAAAGCAGUUUAAUAUUCGGGCCAAAGCUUUUUCCACAGAUAGUGGCAUGAUAAAUAUCGGUUUGUAAGGGGCGUUAAUUUUGACUGCAUCAAGUCUCAAAGUGAGGUUAUACUCAUUAAUUCAGUGAGUACAACAUAACGUCGCUUAUGAAGAUGACCCAGAGGGCUAAAAAACCAAGCUGCUUGCGACGUACAGGUUUUCAAAGAGUGUGACAAAAUUCCUAACUUCUGUGGAAGGUUGGCCAUCCUGUUUCACAACCUCAGGUCGUAUGACUUGUUGUCACGCAUGCGUCUCAUCCUUUCCGAGGCGGCUGCUGAGGAAAUUGUGUUUCCAUUCCAUGAACUAUAUUGAAUUUAUUCAGAAAGUAGAGGAACGUAGUGACUGAGAAAACCAUGGAGAAGAAAUACUUGGAUUUUGGUUAUCAGAACCUGGGUAUAAUCUAAAUGGAAAAGGAUAUCGAUGUUCAAAGUGAAAAAGAUUCCAUUGGCGUGGUAUCUGAUGAGGUUCAUAUACAAUCAGGAACUUCAAUACAAAAAGAUGAAACUGAGGUAAGCCUUCCUUUCAGAUGAGCUUUUUUUCCUGUCUAUUUAUACAAGUGCCUGAGUGUUUCUUCUUACUAUAUAAGUUGUUAUUUGUGAAACAGUUAUAACGAUGGAACAUUACUGUACCUUUUACCCUAACUCUGAUUUGCUCCUGUAGUGAUCAAGGCCUGUAAGAAUAAUAGCAAAUUGCAGCCUGAAUUGGGUAGUGUACAUAUAUAUUCAUUAUCUUAAUUUGUAAUACAAAGUAACAUAGACUCCUUUUUCAGGCUUGUAGAAGAACUGAGCUCCAGUAAUUGUAAAUAAAUGCUAAACAGUCAAGGAUGUUACAAAUUAAAUAUAAUGCAUUUGUUCAUAUUUGUAUCUUGUUUGGAAGCGUGUGUGCAUUUGCGAACACACUUAUGCAUGUGUGUGAGAGAGAGAGAUUAACAGUAGUAAUAAUUGUGUUCAUUUGGAUAUUUUUACGAGUAAUAAUUUCUUUCCAUUAAUCUUUUAGUUUGCUUU